UUCAACAUAAUGUAUUAUCUUUACACUAAUCUACAUAAAAUCUUACACGUUAAUUAUUGUAGCGUUGUAAUUUUAGGCUUCCAACGUUUAUUUGUGGUAAACUGACUGGAAGACCUCAAAUUGACUCGUCGUCCCACGAUGCACUAGUUUUCAUUAUUGUGCAUUCAGCUAAACAUCCGGGCUAUGUGUGGUAUUGUGGGGGAAGAUGGCGACACGUAUCAUCCCUGCUGAUUGGAUCAAAAACUGGGAAAAAUCUGGAAAACACGAGUUUGUACAACUAUGUAAGAAUCUUGCAUACAAAACAAAUCAUGACAGCACAAUAAAAGAUAUACAGGCAGCUUUGUAUGAACUCUGCUGGCAUGUCAUACAGGGGAACUUCAAGCUGGACCUUUCUGCUAGCGUCCUCUGUGACUUGAUGGAUCUGCGGGAUGACAUGCCAUCCAUUUUAGCAGAUGUUUUCAGUAUACUAGACAUAGAGACCAGCUCUUUAGAGGAAAAAAACAAACGUGACCAUUACACCCAACUAGUGGGAGCGUGUCUGUUCUUUGUGCCAGAUGCCAUCCUGAAGGAGAGGCUGGACCCAGAGACCCUGGAGUCCCUGGGACUCAUAAAGCAAGCUCAUCAGUUCAACCAGAAAAUCGUUAAAAUCAAGACCAAACUAUUUUACAAGCAGCAGAAAUUCAACUUGCUGAGGGAAGAGAAUGAGGGCUAUGCCAAGCUGAUCACUGAGCUGGGCCAAGACCUUUCAGGCAACAUCACUAGCCACAUCGUCCUAGAGAGCAUCAAGUCCCUAAUAGGAUGCUUCAACCUGGACCCCAACCGCGUUCUGGACAUCAUCCUGGAGGUGUACGAGUGUCGCUCUGACCAAGACGAGUUCUUCCUGCCCCUCAUCAAGUCCUACAUGUGUGAACCCCUCACCCUCUGCCACAUCCUGGGCUUCAAGUUCAAGUUCAACCAGGAGCCAAAUGAGGAGACCCCCACGUCACUCUACCACAUCGCUGCCGCCCUCUUGCAUCACAACCUUAUAGAGCUGGAGGACAUCUAUGUGCACCUGAUGCCACUGGAUGCCAGCAUUGUAGAGGAGCACAAGAGAGAAAUCACAGAGGCCAAGCAGAUCGCCCGCAAGCUCACCAUGGUGGUGGUUCCCUCCGAGAAGACUGAGGACAAGGAGAGAGAGAAGGAGGAAGAGAAGAACGACAAGGCUCCUGAUAACCAGAAGCUGGGUCUGUUGGAAGCGCUGCUGAGGAUCGGAGACUGGCACCAUGCCCAAAGCAUUAUGGACCAGAUGCCCUCCUUCUACGCCACCUCUCACAAGGCCAUUGCUCUGGCGCUGUGCCAGCUGCUGCAUCUGACUGUGGAGCCACUGUACCGCAGAGCCGGGGUCCCCAAAGGGGCCAAGGGAUGUUUGUUGAGGCCCCUGAAGAACAAGCGGGCCCCCAGGCCUGCAGAGAGCUUUGAGGACCUGCGCAGGGAUGUGUUCAGCAUGCUCUGCUACCUGGGGCCCCACCUCUCCCAUGACCCCAUCCUCUUUGCCAAGAUAGUACGCCUGGGCAAGGGCUUUAUGAAAGAGUACCAAAGUGAGGGUAGAAAUGACAACAUCAAGGACAAAAUGGACACAUUGCUGAGUUGUUUCCUGAGCAUUGCAGACCAGGUGCUGCUGCCCUCGCUCUCUCUCAUGGAGUGUAACGCCUGCAUGUCAGAGGAGCUCUGGGGCCUCUUCAAACUCUUCCCCUACCAGCACAGGUACCGGCUAUACGGGCAGUGGAAGAAUGAGACCUACACAAGCCACCCACUUCUGGUCAAGGUCAAAGCUCAGACUGUGGACAGAGCCAAAUACAUCAUGAAGCGAUUAACCAAAGAGAAUGUGAAACCAUCUGGGCGCCAGAUAGGCAAGCUGAGCCAUAGCAACCCCACCAUCCUCUUUGACUAUAUCCUGUCUCAGAUCCAGUGGUAUGACAACCUCAUCGGUCCAGUGGUAGACUCCCUUAAAUACCUCACCUCACUCAACUAUGACGUCAUGGCUUACUGCAUAAUUGAAGCGCUGGCAAAUCCAGAGAAAGAGAAGAUGAAGCAUGACGACACUACGAUCUCCUCCUGGCUUCAGAGCCUGGCCAGUCUGUGUGGAGCGGUAUUCAGGAAAUACCCAAUUGAGUUAGCUGGCCUCCUCCAGUAUGUGACCAAUACGCUGAAAGCAGGGAAGAGUUUUGACCUGUUGAUUCUGAAAGAGGUGGUGCAGAAGAUGGCUGGGAUCGAGAUCACUGACGAGAUGACAUCAGAGCAGAUGGAAGCUAUGACUGGAGGGGAGCAGCUCAAAGCAGAGGGUGGUUACUUUGGUCAGAUCCGUAACACUAAGAAGUCGUCCCAGCGUCUAAAGGAUGCCCUGUUGGACCAUGAUCUGGCCCUGCCCCUCUGUCUCCUCAUGGCCCAGCAACGCAACGGAGUGGUCUUUCUGGAGGGGGGUGAGAAACACCUCAAACUGGUGGGCAAGCUGUAUGACCAGUGUCACGACACCCUGGUGCAGUUUGGUGGCUUCCUGGCCUCCAACCUGAGUACUGAGGACUACAUCAAGCGUGUUCCCUCCAUUGACAUCCUCUGUAACCAGUUCCACACGCCCCACGAUGCUGCCUUCUUCCUCUCACGCCCCAUGUAUGGACAUCAAAUCCUGUCUAAGUAUGAUGAGCUGAAGAAAGCUGAGAAGAGCAACCGGCAGCAGCAGAAGGUCCAUAAGUACGUGGCUGCGUGCGAGCUGGUGAUGUCGCCGGUGCACGAGGCCGUGGUGUCCCUGCACCCACCCCGUGUCUGGGACGACCUCCGACCCCAGUUCUACGCCACCUUCUGGUCGCUGACCAUGUACGACCUGGCUGUGCCACACAAUGCCUACGACCGCGAGGUGAAGAAGCUCCAGCUCCAGGUGCAGGUCAUCGAGGAGAACCCUGAUGUGCCAAUGAACAAGAAGAAGAAGGAGAAGGAGCGCUGCACGGCCCUACAGGAGAAGCUGCAGGAGGAGGAGAAGAAGCAGCUGGAGCACGUCCAGAGGGUCCUGCACCGCCUCAAACUGGAGAAGGACAACUGGCUCCUCGCUAAAUCCACCAAGAAUGAGACCAUCACUAAGUUUCUGCAGCUGUGUCUGUUUCCUCGCUGUAUCUUCUCUGCCAUCGACGCUGUGUACUGCGCCCGCUUUGUGGAGCUGGUGCACCAGCAGAAGACACCCAACUUCUGCACCCUGCUCUGCUAUGACCGGGUGUUCUCUGACAUCAUCUACACGGUGGCCAGCUGCACGGAGAACGAGUCGCGACGCUACGGCCGCUUCUUGUGCUGCAUGUUGGAGACGGUGACCCGUUGGCACAGUGACCGAGCUGUCUACGAGAAGGAGUGUGGUAACUACCCAGGCUUCCUGACCAUUUUCAGAGCCACAGGCUUCGACGGAGGGAACAAAGCAGACCAGCUGGACUAUGAGAACUUCAGACAUGUAGUGCACAAAUGGCACUACAAGCUGACUAAAGCAUCAGUCCACUGCUUGGAGACGGGGGAAUACACCCACAUCCGGAACAUCCUGAUCGUGCUGACCAAAAUCCUACCCUGCUACCCCAAAGUGCUGAACCUGGGCCAGGCACUCGAGUGCCGUGUCCACAAGAUCUGUCUGGAGGAGAAGGAGAAGAGGCCAGACCUCUAUGCCUUGGCCAUGGGCUAUUCUGGCCAGUUGAAAGGCAGGAAGGCGCACAUGGUUCCUGAGAAUGAGUUCCACCACAAGGAGCAGCCGUUGAGGAGCGCCACCCCUGUCAGCCAGCAAAACGGCCCUGGCACCACGGCCAAGCCUGCCACCAACGCCAGCAAGACGGAGGAGGGCGUCAGUGAGGACGCCGAUCGAGCCAAGGAUAAAUCUCAGGGUGCGGCGAAGCCAGCGAACAAAGCCAACAGCACAGCGGCCAAAGUGACCACCAGCAACGGGAAUGGGGCUCCUAACAGCACAAAAACCCUCAAAGAGAGGGAUGACAAAGAAAAGAGCGGGAAGGAGAAAAAAGAGAAAAAGGAGAAGACUCCAGGCAGCACUCUAGAGACGAAGGGGGAGAGCCGGCGGGAGAAGCAGAGAGACGAGAGAGGAGCAAGUGGCAAGGAGGAGCGGGCGCCACGCGAGGGUAAGGAGAAGACGCCCAAGGCAGACCGGGACAAGCAGAAGGCGGAAGAGAAGAGCAAUAAAGAGGACAACAAGGCCAAGACCGGCAACGGAGAGCCCAAGGAGCCAUCCAGGGAACGUGACACCGGAGCCAAGGAGUCUAAGAGCAAAGAGAAGGGAGGAGACAGGAGUGCCAUGUCCGGAUCCCUCAAGUCUCCAGUUCCCCGAUUGGAGUCUGCUGAAUCUGAGAGGGAUCACAAAAGGCGAAAACUGGAGACCCACUCUUCACCAUCCCAUUCCUCCUCUGUUAAGGUUAGUAUGGCCUGAGGAAGGCUGUGCGCGUGUUUCUUCCCUUUCUGCCGGAGCGUUCCCAACUGUUGCGUGUUCCAUCGUCCCUCAAGAUCACGGAGGAGAGUUCUCACACACGGGAGCCCCGUCUGGAAUCCCCUUCCUAAACCAUGACCGUUUGGAAAUAAUUCCAUGGACUUUUCCUUAAUAUUUUCCUGAGUGGGGAAAACCAUCAAGGACUUAGCCAAGAGAAAAAUGUAUAUAUUGAAAUAUAAAUUUAUUUUCGUGUGAAUGAAAGCAGUAAAAGUGCGAGAGGAGUUUUUAUGCAUUUCUAUAGUCUCCACCCUUUUUUUCUCUUUUUGAGUGCACUAUUUUUCCUCAAGUAAAAGGAGCUUGCUCGUUUUUCGCUGAAAAGUUGAACCCCCCUGCCUCUAAGAUCGGUAUUUUUCCGUUCUAAAUAGCACCCAAGAUGAAGAGCUUUUCUCCUGUUUUCCGGCAAGCUGAAAAUAUUUAUUGUUUGAAGUGGCGUGAAGUGUUUUUCUUUUCCUCUGAAUCUACGGGAAUCCAGUGGGGGUUGAGCGGAGUCCGCAGUGGCACAGUGUCUUCAGAGGAAGUCUAUCUGCUACAGGAGGAGAGGCAGAGAGCCGUCCUGCUGCUGCUGCCACCACGUCAUCUGUCCCCAAUGUUAGUUCUGUUCAAUCAGCCUUCAUGCAGCCUCAGUCUGUACCUUCGCUUCCACUCAAGAUGUGUACGCAGUCAGUUGUUCCUUUGGCCUCCUCCCCACAACCCUUCCCCACCAACAACUAGCAAUCCCCCCCCCCUCAACACCCCUACCACCCUGUCACACGCGCAGUGGGAACCCCAAGCACCACCAGCACCCAGGCCCACAGAGAGCAGGAGAGACGAGCGGGAGCUUCAGUUUUACACCAGCCAAAAGUACAGAAGGAAAAUAAAGCCUGCCUUCUACUACAGAGAGCGCGAGAGGGAGAGAGAAAGUGUUGGCGAAGCCUUCUGGAUCUGCUGGAGCGUUGCCUAAACCGCUGGAAGCUUGUGAUAGGUCUUAAUGUUUACUACCACCAGAGAGAUAGGCUCCUCCCUGUGUCUUAUCCAUUCUCAACUGACAAUAGCAACGAACCCAAGGACUCUGCAUCCAAGCACCACAUCAACUACAAUUCGGUCGCGCGGUCCAAGAGCAGAGAGAGGGAGACGGACAAGAAAGAGUCAGAGAAUACCCGGGGCCGUUCCAAAGAGAAGAAGACCGACAACAAAGACCGAAAGGACAGGAAGAGAGAUCAUAUGACCACUGACCGUGAGAUGAGCCUAGAAUCCAAACGCAGAAAAGAUGAAAAUGGAACCAAUUCCUCCAACAAACACAGCAAGAGCGCCAGUCCCUCCUCAGGCUCCCCAGUCUCGGCUGACAAAGAGAAGACCAAGAGGUCAAAGUCCUCUAGCAAGGAGAAGGGAGAGUCUGCUAAACCUGAGAGAAACUCCUCCGGGGGCAAGAAGGAGUCUAGGCACGACAAAGAAAAAUCUGACAAGAAGGAGAAGAGGGACAGCAGUGGUGGAAAGGAUGAGAAAAAACAUCAUAAGUCUUCUGACAAGCACAGAUAAUGUGUUACAGUUCAGUCAGUGAAGCAGACCUGGAGAAGCCGUGCUUUCCCCUAGACAGACAGACGGAGAGACAGACAGUUAGCCCCCUCCCUCCUGUACCAUGCUGUUAGCUUAGUGCUCCGUUUUCUCUGCCUUGGGCAGUCUGAGAUGAGGCAUCUGAAAUUUUACUCAUUUCUGCCUGUUUCAGUUGUAACUGUCUGCAAGUGAUGUUAGUUUUAGUGUUUGAAACUUGCAGAUCUCCUUUAUUUUUUAUUUCAAUUUAUUUCAGUAACCAACUGAAAGUGAGUUUCUUUUGUUUUUUUACUUUUGAAUAUUGGCACAAUGUGCUAUUCAAAUCACGAAAUGUUAUUCUAUUCAGAAAUUAAACUGGUAACUGUGUGAAAUGGUCUCGAAAGCAUCAGGUCAUACAGUUGAUAAUCACAAAUGCCUGAUGAAAAAAAUGUAUCUGUUUCUUGUUGUCAGGCUCCUCCCCUCUUUCUUGUUUUAUUGGCAUUAAUAGACAUGCUCCAUAUUUGCAUUUACCUCAUUUAGUUACAUGUCUAUUUUAUUUAUCCUCCUUUUAAUCCAGGCAAGUCUUUAGGCAUGUAUUGAGUGAAAUGAUACAAAUGACCAGUUUGUAUAUUAUGUGUACAACAAUAAAGGUAACAUGUAAGUCAUAUCUGUUAUGUUUAUUUUUCGAUGUCCCCUUGCUAUGUCCAUUAUGCGAUUUGUGUGUUAUCAGGUUUUUAAAUCAUUUGUAAAAUGACAGUUCCUCCUUGAAACCAAUAAAAAAAAAUGUACAAAUUUAGAAAGCUUUGUACUCCAAAUACAAAUGUUUCAGAAACAACCUUUUUUGGAGUUUUUAUCUGCUGUACUCGACAAGUGUAUGCUUUUUUUUAACUAAUAAAUGAUAGUUUUCCUAGUGAGC